rnacentral:rRNA from 1 species
UCGCAAGACCGAAGAGGGGGACCUUCGGGCCUCUUGCCAUCGGAUGUGCCCAGAUGGGAUUAGCUAGUAGGUGGGGUAACGGCUCACCUAGGCGACGAUCCCUAGCUGGUCUGAGAGGAUGACCAGCCACACUGGAACUGAGACACGGUCCAGACUCCUACGGGAGGCAGCAGUGGGGAAUAUUGCACAAUGGGCGCAAGCCUGAUGCAGCCAUGCCGCGUGUAUGAAGAAGGCCUUCGGGUUGUAAAGUACUUUCAGCGGGGAGGAAGGCGAUAAGGUUAAUAACCUUGUCGAUUGACGUUACCCGCAGAAGAAGCACCGGCUAACUCCGUGCCAGCAGCCGCGGUAAUACGGAGGGUGCAAGCGUUAAUCGGAAUUACUGGGCGUAAAGCGCACGCAGGCGGUCUGUCAAGUCGGAUGUGAAAUCCCCGGGCUCAACCUGGGAACUGCAUUCGAAACUGGCAGGCUAGAGUCUUGUAGAGGGGGGUAGAAUUCCAAGUGUAGCGGUGAAAUGCGUAGAGAUCUGGAGGAAUACCGGUGGCUAAAGCGGCCCCCUGGACAAAGACUGACGCUCAAGUGCGAAAGCCUGGCGAGCAACAGGAUUAGAUACCCUGGUAGUCCAAGCCGUAAACCAUGUCGACUUGGAAGUUGUGCCCCUGAAGCGUGGCUUCCGGAGCUAACGCGUUAACUCGACAGCCUGG